GAUGAACGCUGGCGGCGUGCCUAAUACAUGCAAGUCGAGCGAACAGACGAGGCGCUUGCUCCUCUGACGUUAGCGGCGGACGGGUGAGUAACACGUGGCUAACCUACCUAUAUGACUCGGCUAACUUCGGGAAACUAGAGCAAAUACCGGUUAAUUUAUUGAACCUCUUGGUUCAAUGGUGAAAGACGGUUUUGCUGUCACUUAUAGAUGGUUCCGCGCCGCAUAAGCUAGUUGGUAAGGUAACGGCUUACCAAGGCAACGAUGCGUAGCCGUCCUGAGAGGGAGAUCGUCCACACGGGAACAGAGACACGGUCCAGACACCUACGGUAGGCAGCAGUAGGGAAUCUUCCGCAAUGGGCGAAAGCCUAACGGAGCAACGCCGCGUGAGUGAUGAAGGUCUUCGGAUCGUAAAACUCUGUUAUUAGGGAAGAACAAAUGUGUAAGUAACUAUGCACGUCUUGACGGUACCUAAUCAGAAAGCCACGGCUAACUACGUG
rnacentral:rRNA from 1 species